rnacentral:lncRNA from 1 species
CGGGGGAGUGAGUUUUCAUCUGGCUGGACCAGUGCCGAAGACGAUGAUGCGGAGUCUGCGUGAUAAAUACGGACUCUGGAGUGACGAAGAAAUUAUCCAAGACCCGGACUCGGGGAGACGUCGGAUUAAUACCUCGUUGAUCCCUUGGACGAAUAAGACCGCGAUUCGACGUCUUCGCGGUUGACGCAUCAGCAUCAGAAUCGACGACGCGACGUCAGCGAACAAUGCCUACUAAAUUGUGUCACGCCGAUCUCUCUCGCCGCGUGCGAAAAUCUCUACCUCUGUACAAGAGGAGACGACUCCGAGCACCUGGCGAGAGCGACAAGCGUAAUCGCAAACAACGUGCCCGAUGGAUGACCCAGCUCGCCUCGACGUCUCUCUGCGUUGCGUUAUCCGGAACCUCGGCACCAACGGCACCGUCUGCAUCCCUGCGUUUUUCGUGCGAGCAUAAGGUACAAGGCAGAAGAAGAUCCCCUCCCCCCAAUAGAGUAUCGGAAGACCUUCCGAGGUGCGACGGUUGGUUGCAUCGACGGAUCGCGGGGUGCGAUCCGAGAGCUGGAACUGCGUACCCGUGUUCCCUGCGGGGCUUGUUUGUGAAGCAGCCAAGACAAACACGUGCCUCCAGCAACGCGCUUUCCUGUGCUUACUUGUCCGUGCCCAUGCCCAUGCAGCCCGACUGUAACCGUCGUAUUGUAAAUCUUAUCCUAUGGUCACGCGGGCAUACAUCAUUGAUUCGCAUCGCCGGCGGAUCCUUCCUAUUGAUAAUGAGACUCGGACGGAUACAUCGGAUUCAACACCUGCGGCUCUCUUGCUCUUGCCCGUGUGAUUAGGGCUGUACUCUCCGGGUUAUAAUGCACCUGGAAAGGAAAUUUACCUUGCGUACAUUUGGUUUCAUCCGCAGGCUGCAAGCUGUUGCACGGACUUUGUAAUCUGAGUAUCACGUUGUAGAUUGUAACAACUCACAGCACGGAGUUUUAUCACAAACACUGUCUAUACAGUAAUGUAG